AGCACCUUUAAUUCAGUCCCGUGAGACUGGCAAGGUAACGUGAACGAUGUUCACUGUAGGACACCCUCUGUGUGGAGUGGUGCAUACUACAGUGCGUCUGAGUAUGACUGUCAUGACGUGUGUCUAUGACUACAGACUCCUUGCCGUUUUAGGGCAGGGAGUCUUUUUUAU
rfam:Paenibacillus sp. TI45-13ar contig00070, whole genome shotgun sequence.